rnacentral:rRNA from 1 species
AUUCCAGCUCCAGUAGCGUAUAUUAAUGCUGCUGCAGUUAAAAAGCUCGUAGUUGGAUCUAGGGUUCGGGCACAGGGUCCGUCGCAAGGCGUGCACUCUCUGCUUGGCCUCCCUCGCGGUUUCCGCCCGGUUCUCUUAACUGAGUGCCGGGUGAGACCGGAACGUUUACUUUGAAAAAAUUGGAGUGUUCAAAGCAGGCGCAACAGCCUGAACAGUAGAGCAUGGAAUAAUGGAAUAGGACCUCGGUUCUAUUGCGUUGGUUUUCGGAGUCCGAGGUAAUGAUUGAGAGGGACUGACGGGGGCAUUCGUAUUGCGGUGUGAGAGGUGAAAUUCUUGGAUCGCCGCAAGACGACCGACAGCGAAAGCAUUUGCCAAGAAUGUCUUCAUUA